CCCUAGCCUGCUCAAGGUAACACACUACUUCCCCUAGCCUGCUCAAGGUAACACACUACUUCCCUAGCCUGCUCAAGGUAACACACACUACUUCCCUAGCCUGCUCAAGGUAACACACACUACUUCCCUAGCCUGCUCAAGGUUACACACACUACUUCCCUAGCCUGCUCAAGGUAACACACACUACUUCCCUAGCCUGCUCAAGGUAACACACACCCCAUUAUAACACUCUAGGCACAUUAUUGGCCCACCGUAUUAACGUGUCUGGCUACCGGACACCUUUCAGUCUCUGAUGUAUAGUUUAUAGUCUGGCAUCUAACGCAGGGUUCUAGUCUGGUAUCUGACGCAGGGUUCUAGGUUCUAGUCUGGUAUCUAACGCAGGGUUCUAGUCUGGUAUCUGACGCUGGGUUCUAGGUUCUAGUCUGGUAUCUAACGCAGGGUUCUAGUCUGGUAUCUGAUGCAGGGUUCUAGGUUCUAGUCUGGUAUCUGACGCCGGGUUCUAGGUUCUAGUCUGGCAUCUAACGCAGGGUUCUAGUCUGGUAUCUGACGCAGGGUUCUAGGUUCUAGUCUGGUAUCUGACGCCGGGUUCUAGUCUGGUAUCUGACACCGGGUUCUAGUUUUUAGUCUGGCAUCUAACGCUGGGUUCUAGUUUCUGGUCUGGUAUCUGACGCUGGGUUCUAGUCUGGUAUCUGACGCAGGGUUCUAGGUUCUAGUCUGGUAUCUGACGCUGGGUUCUAGUCUGGUAUCUGACGCAGGGUUCUGGGUUCUAGUCUGGUAUCUGACGCAGGGUUCUAGGUUCUAGUCUGGUAUCUGACGCAGGGUUCUAGGUUCUAGUCUGGUAUCUGACGCUGGG